rnacentral:rRNA from 1 species
GACGAACGCUGGCGGCGUGCUUAACACAUGUAAGUCGAACGAAGUGGCGAACGGGUGAGUAACGCGUAAUCAACCUGCCCUUCAGAGGGGGACAAAAGUUGGACACGACUGCUAAUAACGCAUAAUGAAGGAGGGCAUUGCGUCUGAUUAUAUAGUUGGGGGGGUACCGGCCCACCAAGGCGCUGAUCAGUAGCCGGUCUGAGAGGAUGAACGGCCACAUUGGGACUGAGACACGGCCCAGACUCCUACGGGAGGCAGCAGUGGGGAAUCUUCCGCAAUGGACGAAAGUCUGACGGAGCAACGCCGCGUGAGUGAUGACGGCCUUCGGGUUGUAAAGCUCUGUUAAUCGGGACGCGGUACCGGAAUAGAAAGCCACGGCUAACUACGUGCCAGCAGCCGCGGUAAUUC